AGAUGAUACAGUAUGAAGUGGUCCAGCCCAGGCAAGGAAGACCCCACCUCUUCUCACUGCCAGAUGUUGCAGGAUGUAUUUGCAUGGAGCAUUUGCCUCUCUGCUAACCCAGGGUGAGGGCUGCCACCUAAUUAAAUAAUCUUCUGUCCUGACCCUUCAAAGGCUGUAAGCAGCUUUUCCCAGCAAAGCAGUUUGCAGUGCCAUCAUGUGUGUGAAAUGGAAUAAGUUGUUAGAGCUUUCAAGGAAGAUGUAAUGCAGCACAAUCAGACAUAUCCAUGCAAAUGAACAUUCAAGGCCCUCUCAGCUCAGGACGUGGGACUACACUGAGGUGUCAACUCUCUGCUGCCCUCUGUGCCUUUCCAUGCUGGGCUCCUGCUGCAAAGAGGACCACCUACCUGCAUGUUGACCUGGAUGGGCUGUCUCUCCCCACUCUUGGUGUGGGGCACCCCUUCUGUGUCGUAGAUCCCUGUGUAAGAGGCCACUUGUGCAUCCCUCGAUUUCUCUUCCAGUGGGACAUUGACACCCCCGAUGCCCAUCGUCCUGCAAAGAGAUGGGAUGCAUCCUUUCAGCAGCCCUGCAGGCCCCCUUCCUAGCAGCAUGGAGCCAGCAGCUUGAUGGUGCGGUUCUGGCCGAAACGCUGCCCGUCCACCUUGAAGUACACCGCCCCGUCGUUGGGCUGGAUUUUGAGGGCGACGCUGAUUUUCACGAGGCUGGGGAUGUCAACCAUCGCGCGGCUGCGGGGUCUGCGCCCGUCUCGCCCCCUCCACGGAAGGCGGCCAGCAGAGGAGACCGAGACGGCGAGGGAGAGGAAGAGGAGGAGGGAGGAGGAAGAGGAGGGGCUGCCGGAUCCGAGCCAGCCCAGCCCUUCCCAAAAGCAGCAGAUGAUAUAUUUGUUUUUCCCUCCCCCGCUAAUCACGGCGCAGCAUCUGUACUGCGGAUCUUCCCUCCAUCUCCCUGUUUGGGGGACAUUUGCAGCUGCUCAAAUCGACGCGGGUUUCCAGGGAGUUAAUCCGGCCUCGGUUAUGGCAGCCUUAAUCCCGCCGUCAUUCCCGGGCCGGGCAGGGCAGGGCAGGGCGGUUCAGCACCAUGGGCGCGGACAGCAGCGCAGCUCUCAGCGGUGCAAUCGGGCGCGAUUUCUUCUGGCAUCUUCCGUUACCGCCUUAUCCCAACUCUCAUAUUAUCGCAGGA
rnacentral:lncRNA from 1 species